CAAUGUUGAUGACGUCACGUGGGAACUGAAGCAAAAUGGCGGAUACGUUUGCGAAGUACCACUGUAAUUACUGCGAGGAGGAUGUCAACGGGCUGAGGGUGAGGUGUCUGGAGUGCGAGGACUUCGAUCUCUGUUUACAGUGCUUUUCCUGCGGUGCGGAAAUUGGCAAGCACAAGAGAAGCCACGGGUAUCAAUUUAUGGCCGGUGUUUUCCAGGACACAGGAAACUUUAGCAUUUUCCCUGGUCAAGGCCACUGGACAGCACGUGAGGAGGUCAGGCUAUUGGAUGCUAUUGAGCAGUAUGGCUAUGGCAACUGGGAGGACAUUGCCCGUCACAUUGAGACACGCACGCCUGAAGAUGCGAGGAACAAGUACAUCAGCAGUUACAUAGAAGGGAACAUAGGCCGUGUUUCCUGGAAGCCUGCCAUGGAGAGAUUACAGCUGCCCAUUGAACACACCACCACCGACACUGGCCCACUCUCCCCAACACUUGGCUCCUCCCUCCCCACACAGCCACUCUCUUCCGAGGAAAACACCAUUCUUGGAUACAUGCCUCACAGAGAUGACUUUGAGCGGGAGUGGGACAAUGAUGCUGAGACCACAAUUGCACCUCUAUUCAUACACCCUGUGGAUGAUGAGGAAGUAGACAUGGCACUCAAGUUAGCACAGGUGGACAUGUACAUGCGAAGACUGCGUGAACGUUCCCGAAGAAAAAGAGUUGUGAGAGACUUCCAGAUAGUGCCACAGUUCUUCAAGAAGGAGAAAGAGAAAGUACAAGUUCCCCCAAAAAAGAAGAGCAAAGAUGACAGAGACAGUUUAGCAGAAAAGUUACGGCCCGUCAGUCAGUUCCAGACAGCGAGUGAACACAACAACCUCAUAUCAUCAAUGGUGCGUGAGAGGGAACUCAGAACCAGAAUAAAGGAGUUGCUGAGGUAUAGAAGAAACGGAAUCAGGCACGUUGAAGAAUGCCAUGAGUUUGAGGUAGCCAGAGCGCGAAGAGACAAAAAGAAAGAGAACAAAAAGAAAGCAGCCAGCCUGCCUCAGACUCCAACGACUCAAAUGGACCUGUCCGCAAAGUCAAAAGAAGCUCUAGACAAGGAAGUGAAGAAACGACGCAAGAAGUCCGAAAUGUUUAGCAGAAAAAAAAUUCACGCCUCUCGAUACUGGAGGUGGAAAAUGGCUCAGCGCGAGCUUGAGCGGCAGCGUGCUGAACGGGAGCGACGGCACGAACAACUGGGGGGGCGGGAGCAGCACAGCACAGGGGGGCCCGGGGGGGGCAGCCGGGGCGAGUGAUGACCCAGUCCCCAUCUCCUCACUCCCAGGAUACCAUCUCCUGUCCCAGAGGGAGAGGAAGCUGUGUUCUGCCACGAAUAUCAAACCAUCUCAGUACAUAGCUUACAAGGCAGUUUUACUGAAGGAUGAAGGUGACAAGCAGCAGUCUGGUGUGGGGCCGUCCACCCGGCGCGGGGCCUGUACUCCUCAGGGCCUCGAUUCACA
rnacentral:misc_RNA from 1 species